GCCCCUCCGCCGCCACCCCCGCGCCGCAGGGUCGCGGCCAGCGCAGCGCUGCCCGUCCCCCUCAGCGGCCCGGCCGAGCCCCGCUGCGGAGCGGAGCCUCCCGCCUGCCCUUUGCGGUGUUCCCUCCCCGGCGGGUCCCGCACUUCGCUGAGGCCCCUAAACCGACUUGCCCGGGGGCUGUCGGGGGUCAGCCGGGCGGUUGGGAGCGAGAGGAGUCUGGGCCGAGUCACUUGGGCUCGUGCCGGCCGAGGUCGUGUUUUGGGGUCUGCAAGAGCCAGAAAAUGUCUGCGGAGCCCCUGACUAUUUUGUGGAGGUCUAAAGACUCUUUUGGGAAUUAUAAAGGGGAGCGGGAGGAGCCUGGAAGGUGAGGGCUGAGAUGGCCUGAAGCACUGUAGUGAAGGGGGACGAGGAGCCAGAGCAUCUGUGGCAUUUCUUUAGUCUUCAGUAAAGAUCUUCAGUGAGUUACCUACCAUGGGAGUCGGGAUAUCAGCAGCCUCCAGAGUCUGUAAAGAAAGAAAUAAAGUAACUCUUGGGCCAUCAGACUGGAUGUCAGUAUCAGCCACAGGGAGAUGGAAUAAUGCUCCUUACUGUUGGAAGGAAGGCUCACCUCCAUGCAGGGAUGUUCUUCCCCCUGGCCUGCAUUCUGCUGUUCCUGCUGGAAGUGGUAUCCAGUAGGACAUGGAUAAUGAGCACAGCUGAAUUCUCAAGAGUAACAAAACCCUGCCCCUGCUCUUUACUCUGAAAGGCUUUUCCAGAGCUCGGCAGUUAAGGACGACUCCAAACCUGAAAAACAAGAUGGCAGGUAACUACAAUUAAAACAAACAGAUAAUUUUUUCAACAUCUUAAUCACAUUUGCAAGAUAAAUACACUGCCAAGCACUAGUUAUGUUCUUAAAUAUUGUCUCAUUCACAGUUAAAACCUUUUCAUCUUGUUGGCAGGAGUGGUUACCUCCUCCAUACAUUAAAUCAUUCCAUGAAGUAUUUCUGUAUGUUUCUUAUAUUUGAAUCUCCAGUAUUCUGAUUGUUUCUGUGGAAUUUCCAUAUUUACUCUCUACAAAGUAAAGUUGCCUGGCAGUUCUUUUUCUAGCUGCUGCUUUUUCCUGAAAUGGUUUGGACUUUCUGCAUAAUUUGUACAAAGCAUUCUCUUCUAUAAAUGUAAUUUUAAUUUUGUUUUAGUAAAGCUGGGAUAUUCUGAUAUGAGUUAAAAAGAGAUAAAUUCUUCAUAUUCUUAGGCUAAAAUAAUGAAAUGCUGCCUUGAACCUAUUAGAAAUGAGAUAAUAUUUUUAUUAGAUUAUGAAACUGCAAGUAAUGACAGAUAAAUGCAGAUAAAUCAGUAUUCUUAGAAAUCUAAACUGCUAAUCAAUAAAAGCUGUUACUCCAGAAUACUGACAUAGGCAGCAGCAAUGAAUAAAGCAAUAUCUUUAUCACAGUGGGCUUUUGGAAGGUCUGUACUAAUUCCAGAGUAACACAAGAGCAAAGAAAUAUGUGCUUUUACCCUGCUUAAUGCAGCACCUACAGCUGCACACUUGGGGUGUGUUUCCAUUCUUUCUACUGCCCUUUUAAUCAUUUAUGGACAGCACUUAGGCAGGAAUAUAUCCUUGAUCUAAACAAGCAGAUAUUAAUGCAUGUGUAUGUUUAUAUUUAAGUGUGUAUAUGUAGUUACUACAUGCAGUCAGGAAAACUACAAUUUCAUAUUUUAUGUUAACGAAAUGGUCUUUUAGCUCUAGAUCACAAUAUUAGAGGUGUGCUGGGAGCAUGAUGAGCAAAAGACUCCCUGAAUGCUGCUGCAAAGCUGGUUGGACAUCCUACCUUGGUUUCAGUCCAGUUUUGAACAGAGGCUUGUCCACUCACAUUCACUUGGAUAACAGGAACUCUUUGAUUUCCUUCAGAGCCCCUUAGUAAAAGUUUAGACACAAACUCCACCUUUGAGUUUGGAGUCUGCCUCCAUUGUUAAAACAAUGUCUCUUCCCCUUCUGCUAACAAUCAACAAUUUUUUAACACUUCUGUAGUACUUUACCAUGAUAACAACAGCAACUUCUUGAGAUGUCAUUUUACAUAUAUCACUGAAUAAUUGAAUCAUAAAUAAUUGAAACAUAAUUUUAAUAUAUUUAUCUACUACUAUUGAUCAAUAGUAGUAGAUAAAUAUAUUAAAAUUAUGUUCAACUGCAGCAACAACAGCAAGCAAAGUAAUACAAGACCCAGCAUAUCACAAAUGAACAUUGUGUAGCUGAGAAAGGAAAUUAGUACUCCAGGAAAUAAAAAAGUUACACUUCCUUAUCAUAAAAAGCUUUAAUAACCUUGUUAACAAUUACUUUGAGCAGUUCCUAUGAGAAUGUCUAAGAUUAAAAAGCAGUAGUGAGCUUAAAGCUAUGUAAAAAGUCUUAUCAAAAGCUGUUAUCAAUUUAAUAAUUCAAAGAAAGUAGCAAAUGUUACCAUUUUAUAAACUGGAAUUCCUAGGAGAUCUCUCUUAGAAGACCAUUCCUAUGCUAUAAUUUUAGACAUGAUGUAUUUUAUUAUUGUAAUUGUCAGAUGGUAAAUUCUGUCUCUUUUUUUCAAGAUAAUACACUUAAAGAUGGCUGUUCUGUGAAGAGUACAGUAUUUGGAAUGUAUGCAAUAAAUGUCAAGGCCCUUCAGGAACAUGAUAUUGUCUCAGUUGGAAUGGCUGGGAAGAUUCACAUUGACUCUGCUGUGCAUGGGGCUGCACUUUUAACCCAAGCCAAAUUUAGUGAUAUUCCCAUAAAUCACCAAGUCCAAGCAUUGUAGCUCAGCUCACACAGGCAGAUCCUCAGCUCCAGAGCUCUGAUUAAGUCAACAGGGCCAGACAUCAGUACUGAUCUUGUGUGAUUGGAUUACAGGAUUGGAGCUGUGAUUUGUCCUACUGAAACCACUCUAAGGUACUUAAACAGAUAAAUCCUACUAUCACAUUUCUUUUCUUAUUGAUUACACUUUCUGAAAUGCAAAAAAACCAAAAAAAAACAAAACAAAACAAAACAAAAACAAAGAAAACCAAAACAACAACAAAACCCCCCCAACCUUGUUUUCUCCACAUAGCAUUAUGAUAAGGUGCAUGAAGGGCUGGAAGGACAACAGAAAUACCUCUAGGGGAAUAAUAGUAAAUGUGUGAUUUUCCUUUUCCACAGAAAGGUUGUAAAAUAUUUGCACUUUUUUUAUUUCCUCUGAGCGCAUUUCCAGUCCUUAGUUAACCCUACCCUCCCUAUGUGAUCUGAAUUACUUGACAAUUUCUAUUAUAAAGGAAAAUUGUGUCAAGGUUGCUUCCUCUCUCAGGUUUUAAUUCAUACCUUUUCAUCCCAUGUUUCUGGCAAAAAAAACCUAUUGAAUUAAACCACUAAUAUGUUCAAAACACUUUUUUUUAAUUGGUUGGUCUUUCUGUUUUUUUUCUCCAUGAGUUUAUUCCUUGUCUCUCAGGUUUGUGUGUUAGGUUGAGAGGAGUCACCUUGUGUAUCUCAUUAUUUUACCAUGGCUGGAAUAUCUGCUAGGAGGCAGAAGAGCCCUCCCAGGCAGAUUACCUGCUGAAUUUAACAAACACAUGUGAGUAACAAAGAUUGACCAGAAAUAUUGUCACUUAUAAAAGCAUUCUUUUAUACUAACUAUAGUAACAAUAGCCAUAUAUAAAAUGGAAUCAAACCUUUGGACAGUGCUGUUUCAAUAGAGGCCUUCAAAAAAAAACACUUCCUAUGUGAUGAAAGAGAAAUGCUCAAAAAUCCAUUCAGGAAUACCUACAAUUCCUUAUGGAUACCUAAUGAAAAUAUAUUAGAAUUAACUGUAAAUUGAGCAAGUAGCAAAAAAAGCUUGAUGAACUGACUGGGACAAAAUAUCCAGUGAUGAAAAGCUCUGCAGACUUGUGCUUGCCAGCACUGGCAAGUAAGUAGUUUUGCUAAAUAGAAGGAAAGCAGAAGAUACAGCUAUCAACUGCAAACGAAUGAUUAUAAACCAGAAAGAAAAUGUGAGGAAGAGCUCUGAAAAUUAUGAUUGACAGUGACAACACAGACCAGACAGCUUUUAUUUUAAGCAACAGAUUGUUGGGAACAUACACAGUAUAUCAAAGUGAAGGACUUGAAACCUGCUGUAGUCUGUACAGAUGUUCUCACUCAGAAAGCAGCUAGAGGGAACAGAAGAUAAAAGAAGGCUGUCCAACUUCAAAAAAGGUUUGAAUUUUCAUUCUGUUUUGACAAGUUUUUAUGCUAGUCUCUGAUUUUCAGUGUGGUAGAAAAUUCAGUAUCUACAAACCUGACCUAACGUGAGAAACACCUGAAGGGGUACAAGUGAACCCUUAAGAAGGUGCAAUACAAUAUCAUGAAAUAGUUUUAGUUGUUUUAGUCUUAAAUGCUUUUAUAUUGAAAAAGACAAAAAUUGGAAAUGCUCUAACUGUUGUAGCUCUGGAGCAGGUCAUACGUGCUUGCAGUCAGCAGUACCUGGAAUGCAAGGCUAAGAUCUAAGAGGCCAUUUAGAAAUUCCUGCUGCAGAAAAGAUUUUUUUAUGAUACAAAGCAAGACAGGAUUACUGAGUUCAGAAGGGUUAUUUGUGAAUAACUUCCAGCUAAAGUGAUUAAGGGCUUCAGCCACUAGCCCCAGAAAAAAACCAACAAAGAGCAUCAAAAACAUCCUGCUCGUCAUUGCUGCUGGCUUUUUGUUCAGUGAGCAAGAGGUCUGUGUUGGUUUUGGUCCUUUGCACUUGGGGGCACUUUUAACAAAACAUAAUACUUGAAAGAA